UGUCAUCAGCAAAUUACCCCUAAGAAUAUUAUAAAUGGACUUUACAAAUUAGAAACCAUGUCCUUAAAUUACUUCCUUCCUCCCUCGGUUCUCUCAUUUCAAAAACUUGCACAUCUACUAUCCAUCAACUUAGCUCCGUCAGACAACAUUUAAUCAGGCCUUUCCCAUCCAGAGUGGUGGACAACCAAACUCUUUAGUAGGAUUUGAAGUUUUGUUCACUAGGAUUACCCGAUGACUGCAACUCUAACAAUUAUUUAAAGACAAGUAAAAUCUGAUCAUCCUACCAUCCGAAGAUUAUUAUACGGUUAGAAUUACUGAUAUUUUGAAUCCUGGUGUUUCUUGAUGAUUUCAUACGAGAAUGCUGCCUUGAAAAACUGUUGCCUCUUGAGAAGAUUCAGGACUCCUGUAGUAGAGAACAAGGAGGAUGAAGAUAAAUCCUAGAAGGAGAGAUUUCCAGUCUGGCUUGUUUGACAUACAACGUCGGCAUCUUGUACAUGAACAGAUACAGUAUUUAUAUUGUCCUAGAAGUGUGAAGAUAAGCAGAUUUCAGCUUUUAACAUGAACACAUUUGUUGAGAGAGGAUAAUAGAUAUUCUACAGCUAGACAUCAAGAUUUCUGCAGAGACAUUUAAAUCCGGCUUACGGAGAAAGGUAAAGUAAAGAGGUAAAUUCCAACCAAGAAACGUUGUACUUGUAUGUUCCUCUGCUGUUGGACGAGUAUAAGUCGGUAUCACCGAGUGGAAAGUGACUCGGCGGCAUGCGGUGAAAAUAAUGAUGAUCACUCUGAUCUGGUGAACAUUCUGAUUAAAUAAUCUAAAGAAAGAAGAGUUACCAGCACGAAGGUACUGAUUACAGCCUCACUUGGGCUUAAAGGAGAAUCAACUGAGCUUAUAAAGUUAGGGUGAUUCAUAGGUCAGGCAAUGUCAUUAAUUUACCUCAUGAGUUUUUUUUUUGUGAUCUCAAACAUCAUAGUAACUAAAAUUUUAGUGACAUGGUAAUGCAAUAAUAAUUUAAGUGAAAAUCAGAAUAAAACCUACCCAUAAACUAUGAAAGAGGCA
rnacentral:lncRNA from 1 species